GAUGAACGCUGGCGGCGUGCUUAACACAUGCAAGUCGAACGGAAAGGCCCAAGCUUGCUUGGGUACUCGAGUGGCGAACGGGUGAGUAACACGUGUGUGAUCUGCCCUGCACUUCGGGAUAAGCCUUGGAAACUGGGUCUAAUACCGGAUAGGACGAUGGUUUGGAUGCCAUUGUGGAAAGUUUUUUCGGUGUGGGAUGAGCUCGCGGCCUAUCAGCUUGUUGGUGGGGUAAUGGCCUACCAAGGCGUUGACGGGUAGCCGGCCUGAGAGAGUGUACGGCCACCUUGGGACUGAGAUACGGCACAGACACCUACGGGAGGCAGAAGUGGGGAAUAUUGCACAAUGGGCGCCAGCCUGAUGCAGCGACGCCGCGUGGGGGAUGACGGCCUUAGGGUUGUAAACUCAUUUCGCUAGGGACGAAGCGUUUUGUGACGGUACCUGGAGAAGAAGCACCGGCUAACUACGUG
rnacentral:rRNA from 1 species